CGGGAGGCAGCAGUAGGGAAUAUUGCACAAUGGGCGCAAGCCUGAUGCAGCAACGCCGCGUGCGCGAUGAAGGCUUCGGGUCGUAAAGCGCUUUUCUGGAGGACGAGCAAGGACGGUACUCCAGGAAGAAGGAUCGGCUAACUACGUGCCAGCAGCCGCGGUAACACGUAGGAUCCGAGCGUUAUCCGAAUUUACUGGGCGUAAAGCGCGUGCAGGCGGUUUGGUAAGUUGGACGUGAAAUCUCCCGGCUCAACUGGGAGGGGUCGUUCAAGACUGCCAGACUAGAGGGCAGUAGAGGGAGGUGGAAUUCCCGGUGUAGUGGUGAAAUGCGUAGAUAUCGGGAGGAACACCAGUGGCGAAAGCGGCCUCCUGGGCUGCACCUGACGCUCAGACGCGAAAGCUAGGGGAGCGAACGGGAUUAGAUACCCCGGUAGUCCUAGCUGUAAACGAUGUGGACUUGGCGUCGGUGGGUUCAAAUCCGCCGGUGCCGCAGUAACGCGCUAAGUCCACCGCCUGGGGACUACGGCCGCAAGGUUAAAAAUCAAAUGAAUUGACGG
rnacentral:rRNA from 1 species